UAAAAUACAUGUUAUGAUAAACGCUUCACAAGAUGUGUUGGCCAAGCAAGGAAGGUGUUAAGUGUUUGCCCCACUAAGGUAACCUCGUCAGUGGGUACAAGAACGAGAGCCGCUGCAUCUUUAACCUCCCAAAACCAACCUUGACUUGGCCAUGCAACAACAGAUGUUGUGAACUGUUGUGGAUCCCUCAUAAAGUCUU
rnacentral:lncRNA from 1 species